GGCGCACGGGUGCGUAACACGUAUGCAACCUACCUAUAUCUGGGGCAUAGCCCGAAGAAAUUCGGAUUAAUUCCCCAUAACACAUAAGAGUCGCAUGAUUUUAAUGUUAAAGUUCCGGCAGAUAUAGAUGGGCAUGCGGCCCAUUAGCUAGUUGGUGAGGUAAUGGCUCACCAAGGCCACGAUGGGUAGGGGUUCUGAGAGGAUGAUCCCCCACACUGGUACUGAGACACGGACCAGACUCCUAUGGGAGGCAGCAGUAGGGAAUAUUGGUCAAUGGACGAAAGUCUGAACCAGCCAUGCCGCGUGCAGGAUGAAUGCCCUAUGGGUUGUAAACUGCUUUUGUACGGGAAGAAACACCUCUACGUGUAAGGCUUGACAGUACCGUAAGAAUAAGGACCGGCUAACUCCGUGCCAGCAGCCGCGGUAAUACGGAGGGUCCAAGCGUUGUCCGGAUUUAUUGGGUUUAAAGGGUACGUAGGCGGGAUAUUAAGUCAGUGGUGAAAGCCUCCAGCUCAACUGGAGAACUGCCAUUGAAACUGAUAUUCUUGAGUGUGGAUGAGGUGGUUGGAAUAUAACAUGUAGCGGUGAAAUGCUUAGAUAUGUUAUGGAACACCAAUUGCGAAGGCAGAUCACCAAACCACUACUGACGCUGAGGUACGAAAGCGUGGGGAGCGAACAGGAUUAGAUACCCUGGUAGUCCACGCCGUAAACGAUGUUCACUCGCUGUUGGCGAUAUACUGUCAGCGGCCAAGCGAAAGCAUUAAGUGAACCACCUGGGGAGUACGAUCGCAAGGUUGAAA
rnacentral:rRNA from 1 species